rnacentral:rRNA from 1 species
CUUGACCUACGGGGGGCAGCAGUGAGGAAUAUUGGUCAAUGGGCGCGAGCCUGAACCAGCCACGUCGCGUGAGGGAUGACGGUCCUACGGAUUGUGAACCUCUUUUGCCGGGGAGCAAGCGUGCGUUCGUGAACGCGCGUCGAGAGUACCCGGAGAAAAAGCAUCGGCUAACUCCGUGCCAGCAGCCGCGGUAAUACGGAGGAUGCGAGCGUUAUCCGGAUUUAUUGGGUUUAAAGGGUGCGUAGGCGGGAUGCCAAGUCAGCGGUAAAAAUGCGGGGCUCAACGCCGUCGAGCC